GAUGAACGCUGGCGGCGUGCCUAAUACAUGCAAGUCGAGCGAACGGACGAGAAGCUUGCUUCUCUGAUGUUAGCGGCGGACGGGUGAGUAACACGUGGAUAACCUACCUAUAAGACUGGGAUAACUUCGGGAAACCGGAGCUAAUACCGGAUAAUAUUUUGAACCGCAUGGUUCAAAAGUGAAAGACGGUCUUGCUGUCACUUAUAGAUGGAUCCGCGCUGCAUUAGCUAGUUGGUAGGGUAACGGCUUACCAAGGCAACAAUGCAUAGCCAACCUGAGAGGGUGAUCGGCAACACUGAAACUAGGACACGGUCCAAACUCCUACGGAGGGCAGCAUUGGGAAAUCUUCCGCAAGGGGCGAAAGCCUGACGGGGAAACGCCGCGUGAGUAAUAAGGUCCUUCGGAUCGUAAACCUCUGUUUUAGGGAAGAACAUAUGUGUAAGUAACUGUGCACAUCUUGACGGUACCUAAUCAGAAAGCCACGGCUAACUACGUG
rnacentral:rRNA from 1 species